CCAAAUCCCAUUUUCCCAUCCCUGAUCCCAAUUUCCCAGCCUGGAACACAAUUCCUAGCCCAGAUCCCAAUUUCCCAGCUCAGAUCCCAAUUUCCCUAUCCAAAUCCCAAUUUCCCAUCCCUGAUCCCAAUUUCCCUAUCCAAAUCCCAAUUUCCCUAUCCAAAUCCCAAUUUCCCAUCCCAGAUCCCAAUCUCCCUAUCCAGAUCCCAAAUUCCCAUCCCAGAUCCCAAAUUCCCAUCCCAGAUCCCAAUUUCCCUAUCCAAAUCCCAAUUUCCCUAUCCAAAUCCCAAUUUCCCAUCCCAGAUCCCAAUUUCUCUAUCCAAAUCCCAAUUUCCCAUCCCAAAUCCCAAUUUCCCAUCCCAGAUCCCAAUUUCCCUAUCCAGAUCCCAAUUUCCCAUCCCUGAUCCCAAUCUCCCUAUCCAAAUCCCAAUCUCCCAUCCCUGAUCCAAAUUUCCCAGCCCAGAUCCCAAUUUCCCAGCUCAGAUCCCAAUUUCCCUAUCCAAAUCCCAAUCUCCCUAUCCAAAUCCCAAUUUCCCAUCCCAAAUCCCAAUUUCCCUAUCCAAAUCCCAAUUUCCCUAUCCAAAUCCCAAUCUCCCUAUCCAAAUCCCAAUUUCCCAUCCCAAAUCCCAAUUUCCCUAUCCAAAUCCCAAUCUCCCUAUCCAAAUCCCAAUUUCCCUAUCCAAAUCCCAAUCUCCCUAUCCAAAUCCCAAUUUCCCUAUCCAAAUCCCAAUUUCCCUAUCCAAAUCCCAAUUUCCCUAUCCAAAUCCCAAUCUCCCUAUCCAAAUCCCAAUUUCCCAUCCCAAAUCCCAAUCUCCCUAUCCAAAUCCCAAUUUCCCUAUCCAAAUCCCAAUUUCCCUAUCCAAAUCCCAAUUUCCCUAUCCAGAUCCCAAUUUCCCAUCCCAAAUCCCAAUCUCCCUAUCCAAAUCCCAAUUUCCCAUCCCAAAUCCCAAUUUCCCAUCCCAGAUCCCAAUUUCCCUAUCCAAAUCCCAAUCUCCCUAUCCAAAUCCCAAUCUCCCUAUCCAAAUCCCAUUUCCCUAUCCAGAUCCCAAUUUCCCAUCCCAGAUCCCAAUUUCCCAUCCCAAAUCCCAAUUUCCCAUCCCAGAUCCCAAUUUCCCUAUCCAAAUCCCAAUUUCCCAUCCCAAAUCCCAAUUUCCCAUCCCAGAUCCCAAUCUCCCUAUCCAAAUCCCAAUUUCCCUAUCCAAAUCCCAAUUUCCCUAUCCAAAUCCCAAUUUCCCAUCCAAAUCCCAAUUUCCCUAUCCAAAUCCCAAUUUCCCUAUCCAAAUCCCAACUUCCCCGCUCCGGGUGGGAUUUUUCCAAACCCACAGGGAUCCCGACACCUCUGCGCUGGCACCGGCUAAAAAAAACACGGGAAAAAAGAAAAUUAUUUCUCCAAAAAAGAAUGAAAAAAAGAACCCAAACAACCAACCAACCUCCUCAAGGCCGUGGGGAGCAGCGAGCGAGCCACAGCCCCCANNNNNNNNNNNNNNNNNNNNNNNNNNNNNNN
rnacentral:lncRNA from 1 species